rnacentral:misc_RNA from 1 species
UAGAUGAACUGAUGAUGUCUACUGAGCAGUAGACGAAACGUCUUCAAUAAAUAGAUGAAGUAGCUGAAUUCUUUGUCUCUUUUUUCACCCACUUGACCGAUAAAACCCUACACUUACGAGUGCUCCUUUGUUAUAUUGGAAUUGACGGUCGUACUCCUUUAUGAUGUCUUCUGUUACAGAGGGUUUUUACGCUAAUACCAGGCGCAUCCAUGGGGAACUACCAGUGAAAAAGCUUAAGAGAUGGACCAAUCUGACCGAAAAACUAGCUACAGCUGAAGCAAGAAGAACUUUCCUUCUAGAGUGCAGGAGAACCAAGAAAAUUCCUAGAUUUAUCACAGACACCACUUCUAACAUACUUACUACUACCACAGGAACCCACGAUCACACACUCCAACGCAGGAGCCAGGCUCUUAAUAGACAGAGGGUUUUUACGCUAAUACCAGGCGCAUCCAUGGGGAACUACCAGUGAAAAAGCUUAAGAGAUGGACCAAUCUGACCGAAAAACUAGCUACAGCUGAAGCAAGAAGAACUUUCCUUCUAGAGUGCAGGAGAACCAAGAAAAUUCCUAGAUUUAUCACAGACACCACUUCUAACAUACUUACUACUACCACAGGAACCCACGAUCACACACUCCAACGCAGGAGCCAGGCUCUUAAUAGACAGAGGGUUUUUACGCUAAUACCAGGCGCAUCCAUGGGGAACUACCAGUGAAAAAGCUUAAGAGAUGGACCAAUCUGACCGAAAAACUAGCUACAGCUGAAGCAAGAAGAACUUUCCUUCUAGAGUGCAGGAGAACCAAGAAAAUUCCUAGAUUUAUCACAGACACCACUUCUAACAUACUUACUACUACCACAGGAACCCACGAUCACACACUCCAACGCAGGAGCCAGGCUCUUAAUAGACAGAGGGUUUUUACGCUAAUACCAGGCGCAUCCAUGGGGAACUACCAGUGAAAAAGCUUAAGAGAUGGACCAAUCUGACCGAAAAACUAGCUACAGCUGAAGCAAGAAGAACUUUCCUUCUAGAGUGCAGGAGAACCAAGAAAAUUCCUAGAUUUAUCACAGACACCACUUCUAACAUACUUACUACUACCACAGGAACCCACGAUCACACACUCCAACGCAGGAGCCAGGCUCUUAAUAGACAGGUGAGGGCACGAUUACUUAAUUUCCAUAUAUCGAAGGUUCAUUCAGAUAUUAAAUUCAUUUUUGGUCAAAUAAAUAAUGUCACUGAUUUCUUAGAUCACACUUUACCUGCAUCUUUGUUAGAUAGGUUUGAGACCUCUUUACACAAGAAAUUUAAUUUCGUUUAUAAUAAAACUAUUUUACAUCUUCAGAGUAAGCUUGAUAAAUUGGGUACACCAGACUUCCACAAAAUUCCAUUUAAUCCUAAUUGGAUAAAGAAUCUUUCUAAUGUGGAUGUUCCUCAAAAUAUUCUAAAGUUAUUAUCUUUGGGCCCUAAAUUUGGUCUGGAACCUACCUUCAAAGAUUAUUCAAUCAGUAGGACCCUUGCAGAUGUGGAAAAUAUAUUGUCUCAUGCAGACAAUGCUGAUCUUCUUUCCCUAAGGUCAUCUUCUAACAACAUUCUGUUGAAUUAUACCAACCGCCCUAGGCAAUCCAUUUCUGAAAUUGAUAAGAUUUAUAGGGAAACGGUAUCGUUUUUAAAAACCCACCCUAAUCUUCUCGUUCUCACCAGUGACAAAGGCAAUGCCACUGUUCUUAUGGAUAAAGAUCAAUACAUCAGCCUCAGUCAAUCAUUGUUAGAUGACGUUAGGUAUUACCAACCUCUUACUUCAAACCCCUGUUCAAAAUUUUCUAACAAAAUUAAUAAAUUCAUUACUCAUUUAAAAAAUAUUAAGAUCAUAGAUCAAACUUUAGCUAAGUCAUUACAUAAUUAUGAUGGUUAUGCUCCAAGAUUUUAUUGUCUGCCCAAAAUUCACAAGCCCACAUUGAGCAUGAGGCCUAUUGUUUCCUCAAUUAAUUCACCUAAUAUACAUAUUGCUAAAUUUUUGACUGAUAUCUUGUCAAAAUCUUAUAAUUACAAUAAUGAUUACAACAUUGUUGACUCUUUUCAAUUUAGUGAAUUUAUUAAUGACUUGAAGCUACCACAUGGUUAUAUUUUGGUGAGUUUUGAUGUAGUUUCACUUUUUACUAACCUUCCCUUGGCUAGUGUCCUUACUUCACUAAGAAAUCAUUGGAAUAUUAUCCAACCUAAUUCUCCAGUUUCCUGGGAAGUGUUUGCAGAAUUGCUCCAAUUAGUGUUUGACACUAAUUUUUUGGUCUUCAACGACAAAUUUUAUUUACAAAUUUUUGGGACACCAAUGGGUUCCUCGAUUUCACCCAUCCUAGUGAA